CCUACGGGAGGCAGCAGUGGGGAAUAUUGGACAAUGGGGGGAACCCUGAUCCAGCGACGCCGCGUGAGUGAAGAAGGAUUUCGGUAUGUAAAGCUCUAUCAGCAGGGAAGAAAAUGACGGUACCUGACUAAGAAGCCCCGGCUAACUACGUGCCAGCAGCCGCGGUAAUACGUAGGGGGCAAGCGUUAUCCGGAUUUACUGGGUGUAAAGGGGGCGUAGGCGGUGGAGCAAGUCCGAUGUGAAAGGGCGGGGCUCCACCCCGGGAAUGCAGUUGAAAGUGUUGAACUGGAGUACAGGAGAGGAAAGCGGAAUUCCUAGUGUAGCGGUGAAAUGCGUAGAUAUUAGGAGGAACACCAGUGGCGAAGGCGGCUUUCUGGACUGUAACUGACGUUGAGGCACGAAAGCGUGGGGAGCAAACAGGAUUAGAUACCCGGGUAGUC
rnacentral:rRNA from 1 species